UACGUAGGUCCCGAGCGUUGUCCGGAUUUAUUGGGCGUAAAGCGAGCACAGGUGGUUUAUUAAGUCUGGUGUAAAAGGCAGUGGCUCAACCAUUGUAUGCAUUGGAAACUGGUAGACUUGAGUGCAGGAGAGGAGAGUGGAAUUCCAUGUGUAGCGGUGAAAUGCGUAGAUAUAUGGAGGAACACCGGUGGCGAAAGCGGCUCUCUGGCCUGUAACUGACACUGAGGCUCAAAAGCGUGGGGAGCAAACAGG
rnacentral:rRNA from 1 species